CAGUAGCCACGGGAAUACGUAGGUGGCAAGCGUUGUCCGGAAUUAUUGAGCGUAAAGAGCUCGCAGGCGGUUUCUUAAGUCUGAUGUGAAAGCCCCCGGCUCAACCGGGGAGGGUCAUUGGAAACUGGGAAACUUGAGUGCAGAAGAGGAGAGUGGAAUUCCACGUGUAGCGGUGAAAUGCGUAGAGAUGUGGAGGAACACCAGUGGCGAAGGCGACUCUCUGAUCUGUAACUGACGCUGAGGAGCGAAAGCGUGGGGAGCGAACAGGAUUAGAUACCCCUGUAGUCCCUGUCUCUUAUAC
rnacentral:rRNA from 1 species